UACAGAGGGUGCUAGCGUUGUUCGGAAUCAUUGGGCGUAAAGGGCGUGUAGGCGGUUUGUUAAGUCAUGUGUGAAAUCCCUCGGCUCAACCGGGGAACGACGCAUGAAACUGGCAGCUAGAGUACCAAAGAGGGGGGUGGAAUUCCCGGGUGUAGCGGUGAAAUGCGUAGAUAUCGGGAGGAACACCUGUGGCGAAGGCGACCCCCUGGUGGAUA
rnacentral:rRNA from 1 species